AUUGAACGCUGGCGGAAUGCUUUACACAUGCAAGUCGAGCGGCAGCGCGGGGGCAACCCUGGCGGCGAGCGGCGAACGGGUGAGUAACAUAUCGGAACGUACCCAGUCCGUGGGGGAUAACUAUCCGAAAGGAUAGCUAAUACCGCAUACGUCCUGAGGGAGAAAGCGGGGGAUCGCAAGACCUCGCGCGAUUGGAGCGGCCGAUAUCGGAUUAGCUAGUUGGUGGGGUAAAGGCUCACCAAGGCGACGAUCCGUAGCGGGUCUGAGAGGACGACCCGCCACACUGGAACUGAGACACGGUCCAGACUCCUACGGGAGGCAGCAGUGGGAAUUUUGGACAAUGGGGGCAACCCCUGAUCCAGCCAUUCCGCGUGAGUGAAGAAGGCCUUCGGGUUGUAAAGCUCUUUCAGCAGGAACGAAACGGUGGUCCCUAAUACGGACUACUAAUGACGGUACCUGAAGAAGAAGCACCGGCUAACUACGUG
rnacentral:rRNA from 1 species